GUGGGGAAUCUUCCGCAAUGGACGAAAGUCUGACGGAGCAACGCCGCGUGAGUGAUGAAGGUCUUCGGAUUGUAAAGCUCUGUUAAUCGGGACGAAAGAGCCUAGUGUGAAUAAUGCUAGGAAGUGACGGUACCGGAAUAGAAAGCCACGGCUAACUACGUGCCAGCAGCCGCGGUAAUACGUAGGUGGCAAGCGUUGUCCGGAAUUAUUGGGCGUAAAGCGCGCGCAGGCGGAUCUGCCAGUCUGUCUUAAAAGUUCGGGGCUUAACCCCGUGAUGGGAUGGAAACUACAGAGCUAGAGUAUCGGAGAGGAAAGUGGAAUUCCGAGGGUAGCGGUGAAAUGCGUAGAUAUUAGGAAGAACACCAGUGGCGAAGGCGACUUUCUGGACGAAAACUGACGCUGAGGCGCGAAAGCCAGGGGAGCGAACGGGAUUAGAUACCCCGGUAGUCC
rnacentral:rRNA from 1 species